GGUGCCUCCUCCUAAAGUUCCUGCUCGUGAGGAGGAUAAGAUUUUGAUCGUACCGUGUGGCGACGAGUCUUGGAUUGAUGCAUCUUUUCAAGGUCAAGGACGUCGCACACAGGUGAAUAAAGUUUUGGGAAGUAUAUGCAAAUAUCUCUGGCCUGGUGUAGUGAUGGAGAAAGGCGUUGAGGUGCCUUGUAUGUCUUGGGAUCAGUACGGGCUCGCGUUCAAUGCGGAACAUAGGAAUGCCCAAGGUGCUGUGUGGCAUGAGUUCUGGAAACGUUACAAGUUGCCUGAAGAUGGAAGUAUGAACGAUCGUGCACGUAUCGUUUUUAACAAGAGCGCGACUACCUUGGUUAGGGAUC